GUUCCUUUCGUCUAAUGGUCAAGACAAUACCUUUUCAAGGUAUUUAUAUGAGUUCAAAUCUCGUAAGGAAUA
rnacentral:tRNA from 1 species